GCGCGUAGGGGUCUUUAGCAGUGGGAGGAAACCGGGGGACCCGGAGAAAACCCACGAGGUUGGACAGGCGACCCUAUAUACUGUCACGUUGAAGCUUUAACAUAGAAUACAUAUAUCACAAAUAGCAGCUUCGUAAAUAGUUAUCAAUGGAGGAAAAACAUUUUAAAAGAUAACUGAUUAGGCCUACAGUACUGACCAAGAAAGUGAUUAUGGAAAUUAAAGUACAGUACAGACCUUUCUCAUUAAGAACAGGUUAGAUCAAAAAGAAGAAACAGAGAGAUAAGCCAACAGUGAGGCUGAUGUCCCCCGCUGAAACCCACAAAUAAAUAGAUUACAUGUAUUGAUUAAUUGCACACUUUUCCUUUUCAAAAGUAUUGAGCAAUCAAACUGAUUAUCUAUAAUUCGUCUAAGCAUAAAAUAUUCACGAUCAAAGUACCUGGUAGUGAACUACAUUUCAUUACUCUCCAUCAGUUAGAAUCAAAGUUAUUUUAUCCUAAAGCAUUAACCAAUGAAAUUGAUUAGCUCUGUUUAGCUUUAGCUUGAAAUGUUAAUCAUUAAACUCA